rnacentral:rRNA from 1 species
AUUGAACGCUGGCGGCAUGCCUUACACAUGCAAGUCGAACGGCAGCACGGGUGCUUGCACCUGGUGGCGAGUGGCGAACGGGUGAGUAAUACAUCGGAACAUGUCCUGUGGUGGGGGAUAGCCCGGCGAAAGCGGGAUUAAUACCGCAUACGAUCUACGGAGGAAAGCGGGGGCCCUUCGGGCCUCGCGCUAUAGGGUUGGCCGAUGGCUGAUUAGCUAGUUGGUGGGGUAAAGGCCUACCAAGGCGACGAUCAGUAGCUGGUCUGAGAGGACGACCAGCCACACUGGGACUGAGACACGGCCCAGACUCCUACGGGAGGCAGCAGUGGGGAAUUUUGGACAAUGGGCGAAAGCCUGAUCCAGCAAUGCCGCGUGUGUGAAGAAGGCCUUCGGGUUGUAAAGCACUUUUGUCCGGAAAGAAAUCCUUGGCCCUAAUACGGUCGGGGGAUGACGGUACCGGAAGAAUAAGCACCGGCUAACUACGUG